rnacentral:misc_RNA from 1 species
UUUCCGUAGGUGUACCUGCGGAAGGAUCAUUGCUGAGUUUUGAAUGAAGUUGUUCUGGUCUUUCGGGGCAAGUGAACGCUUCUCUCAAUCCAUCUUACACCUGUGCACCUAUCGGGGAAGACUUGGAUCUAAGUUGGGUCACGACGGCGAUCUACAGUCUCCUCUUUAUACCAAAUAACAGUUUUAGGAAGUCUUUUUUGCUUGAUGCAAACUUAAAUAAAUACAACUUUCAGCAACGGAUCUCUUGGCUCUC